AAACGGCUGGGGCCUCACUCACGGCAUAUGGAACUAACCACGCCCCUAACUAAGAAGGCACACCUUAGUUGCAGUUAGCACACAAUUAAAGCAACUCUCCAAGUUUUACCUUAAAGUUCAAAAUUGCUAGGAGUUGAAACUACUAGAAAUAUAUUUACAUGCAAGAGUCAAAGAAACUUUGAACUAUUUAUGGCCUUUAAUAAUUAAGUAAGGUAUACUCCUGUGAUCAAGACUUGGAGCAUAUUUGUUUCUCUCUGCCUGGUUCCUCUAGAAAUUGGAAACUAUCAGAACAGAGACCAACUCCGUUUCCCGAUCCCUUUGCAAUCUGCAUUGAACCAUGAGUCAAGUUCUUGAUAAAGGAGUGAAAAUGGAUGACAUUUAAGGCACAUCUGAAGAUGGGGAAACCACAGCACAGAAUAAGGCUGGGCCCUUGAAUCAAUAAAUGAAGGAGAACUACUCAAGAGAACAAAACCACCAGCAAUAUCCACCUGUAUUUGUCUUUUCAUAAUGUGUGACACAUGUGCUCAUGGAUUAUUGUCCGAAGCAAGACAUGUGACCAAGCCUAACAUCAACUGGGUGAAGAGCUAUAUGUUCCUUUCUCAAGAGGCACUACAAGUGACAUGCCACUGGGCAGGAUUAUCCUUUCUACUCUCCUACUUUCUGAACUACUUUUCUCCCUCUGUAAGUCUUAAAGAAGUUCAAUGAGCUAUAAGUGAACUCAGGUAGACAACUCAACAAAAUCAAGAAGACAAUACAUGAACAAAAUGAUACUUUGAAUAAAUAAAUAUAAACCAUAAAAAACUUGAAUUAUUCAGUUCAGUCAUAAUACAUGACUUUAAACUUCAAAACAGUUUGUUAUAGUACAGCCAAAAUCAUUAAAAUUGGUCAGCUAAGAAGUAUAUAUUUUUUCUAGUUCUCUAAUGGAUAGCUGUACAUUAUAUUCACAACUUACAAAAUCUGUCCAGCAAGAUAACAGAUUAGAAGACACUUAACAUUGCUUCCCCCACAAAGGUAUAAGCAGUAACUAUUCAAAGACAAUAAAACUACCCUGAAGUUACUAGAACUUGAGAGAGAAGCAGAGGAACUGAUGGAGCCUGCAGAAAUGAGAGAAGCUGUGACUGAUAAAUGACGAUUUUAGAAUCUGCCACCCACUACCCCAAGCCACAUAACAGCUCACAGAAAAUUUCUAUACAUUUAGGAUGUCUGAGUUGGAAGAAAUUCGAAGUUGAAAAUAAACAUUCAAUUUCCCUAUCAGUUGAGGAGGCUUCAUGGGAAGUCUACAUGGGUCUCAUCCCAUGGAAAACACUGAGAGUUCCAGGAGGGCUGAAUGACCUGAGUGAACUGAAGAUAAAAUCAGGAGAGCUGAUUGCAGCAACUGUCCUGUGGAUCUUGGUAGCUGCUCUGCAUUCUGCUCAGCAGGAAUGCCAUGCUGAGGAGACUGUCAAGUCUCAUAGCACUGCAGAGGUUAUGAGCCCUGGAAAUGCCUGAGUCCUUUUUUGUGUUUAUGUGGCACCUUCCCCUGACCCAGAAGCAGCUGAAAUAUUUAGUAAGUUCUGGUGCUCGCAAUAAGUCUUUUCCAAAUAACAAACAAUGGCAGAGCAGUGAUUUCACUCCAGUGCAGCAUUUAAAUUCUGAUACACACUAAGUCCUCCCCACUCAGGAGUCAAAAGCUGGACAGCAAUUAAGUUCUGAUAUUAAGUUGUAAUGAUCUAAGACCACAAAAAACACCUGCAAAAACAGAAAGAGGUGACCAUCUCCUCAAAUUCACAGGCAUCAAUAUAAAGAUAAAAGGAUUAAUAAAAAUCAGGAAAAUAUGACACCAACAAAAGAAAUAAACAAAGCUCUAUAAUGGACACAGAAGAACUGAUCUAUAAAAUGUCUGAAUUCCAAAUUCAGAAUAAUCUACUUUAAAAUUUUCAGGGAAUCACAAUAAAAUAUAAAUAGAAAAUUAACUAAAAUUUGGAAAACAAUCCAUAAAUACAAUGAGAUAUUUGACAAAUAAAGAAACAUUUUUAAAGCCCAAAUAAAUCCUAGAAAUAAAGAAUAUAAUAACUGAACUGAAAAAACUCAAUAGAAAGCUUUUACAGUAGACAUAAUCAGAGGAAACAGCUUGAAGACGUAUGAAAUUAAUCAGAGGAGCAAAAAGAAAAAAGAAAAAAUAUGGUGAAGAAGACCUUCAGGAAUUGUGGGACACUAUUUAAAGUAAACUAACCUUCACAUAAUAGGAGUUUCCGAAUGAGAAAAGGGAGAAUAGACCUAGAACACAUAUUUAAGGAAAUCAUAGCUAAAAACCUCCUAAAUCUACAUGUAGAAAACAACAUCCACUUACAAGAAACAUAGAAGUUACUAAUCAAAUUAACUCAAAAGGAAUUCCCCAACACCCUUCAAAUUAUGAUAAAAAAAAUCAAAGACAAAGAAAGAAUACUGAAAAAAAGAAGAGAAAAGAGACAUAUCACAUUAAUCAGGGCCCUAAUACAGCUUUCAUCAGAUUCUCAGCAAAAACCCUGCAGGAAAGGAGAAAAUGAUAUGAUAUAUUCAAAGUAGUGAAGGAGAAUAAAAACCUGCCAACCAAGAAUAUUGUACCAAGCAAAGGUAUUCUUCAAACAUAAAGAAAAGAUAAAGUCUGCAGAUAAACCAAAGCUGAGGGGAUUCAUCAACACUAGACCUACUAAAAUGCUAAAGGAAGUUUUUUAAUCUGAAAGAAAAGGAUGCUAAUAUGUAAAAAGAAAACAUCUUAAGGUAUACAACUCAUUGGUCAUAGUAAGUAAACAAAUUCAGGGCACUCAAAAACUAAUUGGGCCAGGUGUGGUGGCUCAUGCCUGUAAUCCCAACACUUUGGGAGAUUGAGGUGGGCGUAUCACCUGAGGUAAGGAGUUCAAGACCAGCCUGGCCAACAUCGUGAAACCCCAUCUCUACUAAAAAUACAAAAAUUAGCUGGGCAUGGUGGCAUGCACCUAUGGUCCCAGCUACUUGGAGGCUGAGACACGAGAAUCGCUUGAACCCAAGAGGCGGAGGUUACAGUGAGCUGAGAUCAUGCCACUGCACUCUACCCUAGGUGAAUGAGCGAGACUCUGCCCCCUCCCCUCCAAAAAAAAAUAAGAAACUGUAAGUGUAUAUAAAUCACUUACAUCUUUUUUUCUUUUCUUUUUUUUUUUUUUUGAGACAGCAUCUCACUCUAUCACCCAGGUCAGAGUGUAGUGGUGUGAUCUCAGCUCACUGUAACCUUUGCUUCCCAGGCUCAAAUGAAUUACCCACAUCAGCCUCCCAAGUAGCUGGAACCAUAGGUGUCACUUACAUCUUUAUAUAAUAUCGCUUUCAUCUUUUAGUAUCUAAAAGAAAAAAAAUUAAUGAUAAUAACAACAAUUGUUUAAGAGAAAGAACAUGUAAAAAGAAGUAAAAUUUACAUAUCAAAAUCCAAAAUUUGGAAAAAGACUGGUUUAAAAUGUAAAAACUUAUGAUAAAUACACUAAAAAUAAAAAGUGCUGAACCAAAGCAUACUAGAGAGAAUCACUUUACCACAAAAAAGACAGAAAAAUGAAAGAAAGAUAGUUUGCUGAGAACGAUGGUUUCCAGCUUCAUCCAUGUCCCUACAAAGGACAUGAACUCAUCAUUUUUUAAGGCUGCAUAGUAUUCCACACACAUCAGGGCCUGUUGUGGGGUGGGGGGAGGGGGGAGGGAUAGAAUUAGGAGAUAUACCUAAUGUUAAAUGACGAGUUAAUGGGUGCAGCACACCAACAUGGCACAUGUAUACAUAUGUAACAGACCUGCACAUUGUGCACAUGUACCCUAAAACUUAAAGCAUAAUAAAAAAAAGAAAGACUCUCCAAAACAGUUUUAAAAAGUGACAAAAUGACAGUAAAGUCUUUACCUAGAAAUAAUAACCUUGAAUAUAAAUGAAUUCACUGAUUAAAAUACAUAGGGUUGUUUAAUGGAUUAAGCACACACACAACACACACACAGACAUACAAAGCACCCCCACACCCACACCAUAUGCUGCCUACAGAAACUCACUCCAUUUAUGAAGAUACAAAUGGACUGAAAGUGAAGAAAAGAAAAAACACAUUCUACACAAAUGUGCACCCCAUAAAAAGCAGGAAUAGCUAUACUUACAUAAAUAACCUUCAAGUCAAGUACUGUAAAAUAAAUACAAAGAAGAUUAUUAUGUAAUGACAAAGCUGUUAUAACAUUUGUACAUAUACAUGCACUCAGCACUGAAGCACCUAAAUAUAUAAAGCGAAUACUAACCUAGAGGAAGAGAUUGACAGCAGGACAAUAAUGGUGGAAAACUUUAUCACUCCCCUUUUCAGCAAUGGAUGGAUGAUCCAGAGAGAAAAAUCAACAAAGAAACAUCAGAGUUCAACUGCACUGUAGAUAAAAUGAACCUAACAGAUAUUUACAAAACAUUCUAUCCAACAACUACAAAAUACACUUUCUUUUCAAGUGCACAUGGAACAGUUUUUAGAAUAGACUAUGCUGAGUCAUAACACAAGUCUUACAAAAUUUUCAAAAAUAAAAAUCACAUCAAGUACUUUUUCUAAACACAAUGAAAUAAUACCAGAAAUCAAUAAAACUAGAAAUCAAUAACAGAAGGAAUGGUGGAAGCUUUACAAAUACAUGGAAAUUAAACAGCACGCUCUUGUAUCCCCAUUAAGAAAAGAAAUUUCUGAAAAUUUCUGGAGAUAGAAAAUGAAAGCCUAUGGGAUAUAGCAGAAGUAUGUCAAAGAGGAAACACUAGAGCAAUAAAUUCCUACAUCAAAAAAGUAAAAAGAUAUCCAAUUAAAAACCAUCUGGUGCACUUCAAGGAACUAGAAAAUUUCUAAAAAGCCAAAUGCAAAAUUAGUAGAAGAAAAGAAAUAACAAAGAUCACAGCAGAAACAAAAAAAAAACAGAGAUUUUAAAACAAUACAAAAAAAUCCAUCAAAGAAAAACAAUUUGUUUGAAAAUCAAAAGAAAUUAGCUACACUAAGAACAAAAGAGAAAAGAGUCAAAUAACUAAAAUCAGAGAAGAAAAAAGAUAUAUUACACAGAAUUUGUCAACAGAAAUACAAAGAUCAUAAGAGAUUUUAUGAACAACUAUAAAUCAAGAAAUUUGAAAGCUAGAAAAAAUGAAUCCAGACUGAAUUAUGAAGAAAUAGAAAACCUGAACAAAUAAAGAGUAACAAGAUUGAAUCAGUAAUAAAAAAAAAUUCUCCCAUCAAAGAGAAGCCUAGGAUCUGACAAAUUCACUGCUGAAUUCUACCAAACUAUCAAAUAACUAAUACUAAUUCUUCUAAAACUACUAUGUUAAAUUGAAGAAGAAGGAAUAUGUCUAACUCAGGCUAUCAGGCAAGCAUUACCUUGACACCAAAACCAGAUAAUGACACAACAAUAAAAGAAAACUACAGGUUAGUAUCUCUGAAACAUAGAGGCAAAAAUCCUGAGCAAAAUGCUAGCAAACUGAAUCCAUCAACACAUUAAAAGAUCACUUACUAUGAUCAAGUGUGAUUCAUCAUAGGAAUUUGAGGAUGAUGUGUUAGGCUCUUCUUGCGUUGCUACAAACCAACACCUGAGACUGCGUAAUUUAUUUUUUAAAAAAGAUUUAAUUGGCCCUACAGGGUGUAUAAGCCUGGUUCCAACAUCUGCUCAGCUUCUGGGGAAGCCUCAGGGAAUAUUUACUCAUGGUGGUAGACGAAGUGGGAACAGACACAUCACAUGGUGAAAGCAAGAACAAGAGAGUGAGUGGGAGGUGCCACACACUUGGAAACAACCAAAUCUCAUGAGAACUCAUUCACAAUUACAAGGAUAGCACCAGUCAAUGAGGAAUCCACAUCUAUGAUCUAAUCACCUUUCACCAGGCCCCACCUCCAACAUUAGGAAUUACAUUUUAAUAUGAGAUUGGGGGGACAAAUAUCCAACCUAUAUCAGAUGGUUUAUAAUAUGCAAAUCAAUAAAUGUGGUACGUUAACACAAUCAGGUACAAAAAACAUAUGACCAUUACAAUAGAUGCAGAAAUAGCAUUUCAUAAAUUCAACAUCCCAUCAUGAUAAAAACUUUCAAUCAAUUAGGUAUAGCAGGAAUAUAACUCAACCUAAUAAAGACAUGCAAAUGGCCAGUAGAUAUUUGACAAAUAAUGAUUAGCAUCACCAAUCAUCAUGGAAAUACAAAUCAAGACCACAGCGAGAUAUUACCUCAUACCUGUUAGAAUGGCUAUUAUCAAAAAGACAAAAAAUAACAAAUGCUGGUGAGGAUGAAGAAAAAGGGGAACACUCAUACACUGUUAGUGGGAAUGUAAAUUAGUACAGACAUGGAAAACAGUAUGAAGGUUUCUCAAAAAAUUAAAAAUAAAAUUAUUAAAUGAUUUAGCAGUCUCACUGUGAGGUAUAUAUUCAGAGAAAUAAAAUGAGAAGUCAAUGAGAUAUCUGCAUUUCUAUGUUGUUUAUUGCAG
rnacentral:lncRNA from 1 species